rnacentral:rRNA from 1 species
UACGUAGGGUGCAAGCGUUAAUCGGAAUUGCUGGGCGUAAAGCGUGCGCAGGCGGCUUUGCAAGCCAGAUGUGAAGUCCCCGGGCUUAACCUGGGAACUGCAUUUGUGACUGCAUGGCUGGAGUGCGGCAGAGGGGGAUGGAAUUCCGCGUGUAGCAGUGAAAUGCGUAGAUAUGCGGAGGAACACCGAUGGCGAAGGCAAUCCCCUGGGCCUGCACUGACGCUCAUGCACGAAAGCGUGGGGAGCAAACAGG